rnacentral:antisense_RNA from 1 species
UUGGCGGUGAAGCCCCAGUCGCUCUCCUGGCCGGUGAGCACCUCGUCGCCGAAGUGGUCGCCGUCGGCCAGGGUGUCCAGCACGGUCUGGUCGCCGUACUCGCCCUCGCCGAUCCGGUUCACCUUGCCGUGCGCGAUCAGGAAGACCUCGUCGGCCCGCCCUCCCGCCUCGACCACCACGUCACCGGGCGCGUACUCGCGCUGCUCGAACCGAGCCGCCAGGGCAGUCAGCACCUCGUCGUCCGGGAAGUCCCGCAACGCCCGGAGCUCCCGCAGCUCCUGCGGGAUGACCCGGAUGUCCGCGCCGGUGCUGAUGAAGGUCACCCGACCGUCGCCCACCGCGUAGGUGAGCCGCCGGUUGACCCGGUAGGUGCCGGCCUGGGUCUGCACCCAGGGGAGUUUGCGCAGCAGCCACCGCGGUGAGAUGCCCUGCAUCUGCGGGGUGGACUUGGUCGUGGUCGCCAGGUUCCGCGCGCCCGCGGGGCUCAGGCUCUGCCG